UAGGGACCAGAUUUGAGCUUCCUGCCACAACUCCCAGUGGGGCCGCUUCCCACCUUCACCAGCUCCAGUCUCCUCAGAUUCCCUACCCCAGGGCCCCUUCCCCUCUCCAAGAUUUUUUGCCUUUGUCCCAGUCACUGCCCCCAGACCCUGCUGCAGACUCAGCCUCUCUCUUCUUUGGAGCCAUGCAGGCGUUGCCUGGGACCCCUCAGGCCCUUCAAUGCCAGAAUCAAGGCUAAGCCGUUCCUUCUCAGGGCCUGGCCCUUCCCAGUGCUAAGGCUGGCCACCCCUCUGCUCUCUUCUCAUCCUCCUCUGCCCCCUCCCCCUCCCCUUCCCACUUGCCCCCUCCUGUAGGACCCUCUCAGAUCACUGGCCCUCUGCCUGACACCAACCAGCAGCUCCAGCAGAAUGAGGAGCUGCCGCUUAGGGUCACCUUGGCCCACUAUCGCUUGGGCCUGGGUUGGAGAAACAACUUCCAAGCCUAUUGGCUCUUCCAGAUAGCCUUGUCCUCCCAGCAAGGGGUAGCCGAGUGUGGCAUGCCGCAGGGCUUUGCAGCUCAGUGCCCCAACUGCUCGGAGGCAGAGGAAGACUUACCCUCCAAGCUGUUCUACCUCUCUGCCAUCUGCCUUGUCCACCAGGAUGACUCUGUCCUAAGGCCUGCUUCUAGGAUUAGUGAGCCCAUAGAAACCUCACCGUUUCUUGAGGGGGGCCUACCCAUGCUGCUCCCUACCAUUGUACUCACUCUCCAGACUGCUCCACCCAGGGGUGUGCUGGGAAAUGUUGAACCGCUUCUGAGGAAGAUGAAAAAACAAUCCCAUUCCCAUGACACACUUUGAAGUUUAAUAUACAUUAUUGACAUUUUCCCCAUCACUUUCCUUUUCUUUUUUUUUUUUUGGAAGAUCAAUGGGUUUUUUUCCUUUUUGAAAUUUGAAUGAAUCAGCCAAAAUCUACUUUCUCACACACAUAUCCCAUAUUCUUCCCCCAACUGAGAACAUGAGAAAAACAAAACCCAUUACAUACUUGUAUAGUCACUCCAAACAGCUUUCUACAUCAAUAAAGUCCAAAACUAACAUGUCUGAUUCUUCCGA
rnacentral:lncRNA from 1 species